ensembl:lncRNA
GUAUACCAUAGUGGUAGGGCUGGGUUGAGGAUCUUAGUCCUCUGGAGGCAGAGAAUGAGGGAACAUGAACAUGUUUGGGGGGUGUGGUGCCAGACCCAGGUUUCAGAGCUGGGUGUCUUUCUGGACUAGUCUUCAGUACCCCUGAUAAUCGUCCUCAUUAGGAGUUACCUUCCUUAGCACCCCCUCUCCUAUGGACCCUAUGCCAAAACCAGAGCAAGCCCAGGACCCCCUCCUGCUUCAGACUGCACACAUGGGUGGGUGCUGUCCUUCCAAACAUUUCUGCAUAAACAGGGAGAUGGGGGGGCAGGGGAAGGAGUAUGAGGUGGGAAGGACGUGUGAGGAGACGUUUGGAAUAUUAGUGUUAGUAGGGAGAGGAGGACCCAAAGGAAGUUGAAAGGUGUGAGGAGGGAGAGGACUGAGGAUCACAGUGGAGAUAAAAGUGAGAAGGUGGAAGCCCCGUGGAGAGAGGCCGUGCUGGGCAGUCGUCUGGGGAACAAAGCUGAGAUGUGGGGACACCACCUGGAUGGACGGGGAUGAUGGACAGAAGGAAAUAGGGGAAGAGAGUGUGUGAGUCAGGACUCUUAGUUCAAGGAGCAAAAACCUAAUUCAGGGGGCCAGCCCCGUGGCCAAGUGGUUAAGUUCAUGCACUCUGCCUCGGCAGCCCAGGGUUUCGCCAGUUGGAAUCCUGGGCGCGGACAUGGCAUCAGGCCAUGCUGAGGCGGCAUCCCACAUGCCACAACUAGAAGAACCCACAACUGAAAAUAGACAACUAUGUACUGGGGGGCUUUGGGAGAAAAAGGGAAAAUACAAAAAAUCUUUAAAAAGAAAAAGCUAAUUCAGAGUAGCCUGAGAGGGUUUAGAGUAGAGAGAAUAAGAAGUGAUUGACUCAUGCAGAGUGUCAGGGACUUUAGCCUCAGGUGGACCCAGGGCUCGCACAAAACCUAGAUGUCUGCCCUGAGUUUUUCUCUGCUUUCUUAGAGUAGCUUUUAUGCUGAGGCUGCACACAGUGGUCCUGACCAUGCCAGGAUCCGUCAUUCUUAAAGUUGGCGGUACCAGGAAGAAAACAUCUCCCAGACACUUGCACAGGUUUCGCAGAAUGGGGUCUCACUGACUGGUUCAUGAGUCCAUCCUGGAAACUGUCCCCACAGCAAGGUGGGUUCCAAACAUCUCAGGUGCCAGCUGCGCCUCAUACCCACCCUGGAGCUCCCGAGGCUCGCAGGCAGAGUGUGGGGCUCAGGACGUCGACAGGAACAUCAGGAGCUGUCAUGGAAGUUGACCAGCUGCUGCACGGGCAGAGUCAGCAGCUGUCCGCACCAGGGCAGGAGCCAGGACGCACCAUUCAGGUGAGGACAUGGUUUCAGAGGCGCCCCACCUGAGUGUGUGUACGGGCAGGGGACAGGGGGUGGCCUCUUAAGCCUUGCUGUCCUUUUUCAGUUUUAAAAUUACCAUCACAAAGAGCAAUAAAAUUCUGGAUUUUGGCGGGGAUAAGGGGUCCAUAGAAACAGAGAUUUAUUAAGCCAAGGGUUUCGCUGGUUCGGAUCCUGGGCGAGGACAUGGCACUGCUCAUCAAGCCAUGCUGAGGUGGCAUCCACAUGCCACAACUAGAAGGACCCACAACUAAAAGUACACAACUAUGUACAGGGGGGCUUUCGGGAGGAAAAGGAAAAAAUAAAAUCUUUAAAAAAAAAAAGAAUGAAACAGAAAUUAAGACAUUCCUAGAUAAAUAAAAGGUGAGGGAGUUGCUUGCUAGCAGACCUGCCCUACAAGAAAUGCCAAAGGGAGUCCUUCAGGCUCAAAUGAAAGGGCACUCUACAGUAAUUUGAAGACGGACAAAGAAACAGUAACUACAUAGGCAAAUAUAAAAGCCAGUAACGUUACACUUGUUUGUAACAUCUCUUCCCACAUGAUAUAAAAAAAUAAAUGCAUAAAAAAAUUAUCAGUCAGUGGUGGGCCCGGUGGCGCAGUGGUUAAGUGCACACGUUUUGCUUCUCAGCAGCCUGGGGUUUGCCAGUUCAGAUCCUGGGUGCGGACAUGGCACCGCUUGGCAAAAGCCAUGCUGUGGUAGGCGUCCCACGUAUAAAGUAGAAGAAGAUGGGCAUGAAUGUUAUAUCAGGGCCAGUCUUCCUCAGCAAAAAGAGGAGGAUUGGCAGUAGUUACCUCAGGGCUAAUCUUCCUCAGGAAAAAAAAAUUAUCAUUCUAUGUUAAUGGGCACAAAAUGUAUGAAGAGGUAAUUUGUGGCAGUAACAUGCAGGAGUUGGAGCUAGGUAGCAGCAGUUUCUGUGUGUCAUUGAAUCUACGUUGGUGUCAAUUCAAACUACAUUGUUAUAAAUUUAGGGUGUCAAUUAUCCCCAUGGUAACCAUUAAGAAAAUAUCUUUAAAAAUGUAGACACAGAAGGAAAUGAGAAGGUAAUCAAAACACUUCACUACAAAAAUAAACACAAAAGGAGGCAGUAAUGGAGGAGACGAGGAACAAGAAAGGCACAAGACAUACAAAAGGCCAAUAGCAAAAUAUCUGAAAUAAGUCCUUCCUCAUGAAUCGUUACUUUAAAGAGCUGGGGUGACUAUACUAGUAUCAGACAAAAUAGGGUCUAAGUCUAAAACUUUUACAAGAGACGAAGAACAUCAUACAUUAAUAAAAUUCAUCUAGCAAUUAUAUACACUAAACAAAACAUCAAAAUAUAUGAAGUAAACAUUGACAGAAUUGAAGAGCCAAGAGCUACAGUAAUAAAGAUUUCAGUACCCCACUUUCUAUAGUGGAUAGAACAUCUAGAUGGGAGAUUGAUAAAAAUAAAGGACUUGAUGCUGUAAACCAUUAGACCUGACAGACAUGCACAGAACACUCCACCAGCGACAGAAUACACAUUCUUCUCUAGUGCGCACAGAACAUCCUCCAGGAUGGACCGUAUGUUAGGCCACAAAACAAGUCUCAACAAAUUGAAAAGGGAAAUUGGAGACUACAUUAAGAAUGAAAAUCAAGACUUAUGGGAUGCAGUGAAAGCUGUGCUCAGAAGGAAAUUUUUAGUAGUAAAUGCCUACAUUAAAGAAGAAAGAUCUCAAAUCAAUAAACUAACUGUACACUGUAAGAAACUAGAAAAAGGGGCCGGCCCAGUGGUGCAGUGGUUGAGUUCACGUGUUCUGCUUUGGCAGCCUGGGGUUGGCUGGUUUGGAUCCCGGG